UAGCGUAUAUUAAAGUUGUUGCAGUUAGAACGCUCGUAGUCGGAUUUCGGGGCGGGCCGACCGGUCUGCCGAUGGGUAUGCACUGGUCGGCGCGUCCUUCCUUCCGGAGACCGUCCCUACUCUUAACUGAGCGGGGGCGGGAGACGGGACUUUUACUUUGAAAAAAUCAGAGUGUUUCAAGCAGGCAGCUCGCUCUUGCAUGGAUUAGCAUGGGAUAAUGAAAUAGGACUUUGGUGCUAUUUUGUUGGUUUCGAACACCGAAGUAAUGAUGAGAAGGGACAGUCAGGGGCACUCGUAUUCCGCCGAGAGAGGUGAAAUUCUCAGACCAGCGGAAGACGAACCACUGCGAAAGCAUUUG
rnacentral:rRNA from 1 species